rnacentral:rRNA from 1 species
UACGGGGGGAGCAAGCGUUGUUCGGAUUUACUGGGCGUAAAGGGCGCGGAGGCGGUCAGCACAAGUCAGUUGUGAAAUCUCCGGGCUUAACUCGGAAAGGUCAACUGAUACUGUGCGACUAGAGUGCGGAAGGGGCAACUGGAAUUCUCGGGUGUAGCGGUGAAAUGCGUAGAUAUCGAGAGGAACACCUGCGGCGAAGGCGGGUUCCUGGUCCAGCACCGACGUUCAGGCACGAAAGCGUGGGGAGCAAACAGG